GCAGGGGGGAGUAUGGUUGUAGCUGGCCCCCUAAUAAGGGCAUGUGCACACUGUCUCUUUCUCUUGUUUGUUUUUUCAUUCUUUCCACUUGUGCACUGCUUGUAGGCAGCCUGGCAUUGUUCGGGUUGUCUAUGAUUUUAUUUUACAUACAUGAAUCAUUGUUGUACAGAAUGUGAUAAAAAAAUAAUAAUACAACUUUCAACAACGGAUCUCUUGGCUCUCGCAUCGAUGAAGAACGCAGCGAAAUGCGAUAAGUAAUGUGAAUUGCAGAAUUCAGUGAAUCAUCGAAUCUUUGAACGCAUCUUGCGCUCCUUGGUAUUCCGAGGAGCAUGCCUGUUUGAGUGUCAUUAAAUUCUGUCAAAACAUGCACUUGAGUGUGUUUUGGAUUGUGGGAGUGUCUGCUGGCUUUAUAUGAGUCAGCUCUCCUGAAAGACAUUAGCUUUGGAGGGAUGUGCCAAGUCACUUCUGCCUUUCCAUUGGUGUGAUAGAUGAAUAAACUUAUCUACGCCAGGAAAGCAGGUUGCAGGUGAUGCACUGUGAUCUCUCUGCUCUCUAAUUGACAUUUGUCUGAUAACUUGACCUCAAAUCAGGUAGGACUACCCGCUGAACUUAAGCAUAUCAUA
rnacentral:rRNA from 1 species